UGGGGAAUAUUGCGCAAUGGACGAAAGUCUGACGCAGCGACGCCGCGUGUGGGAGGAAGCUCUUCGGGGUGUAAACCACUGUCAGGAGGGAAGAACGGCGCCGGUUCGAACAGUUCUGGCGAUUGACGGUACCUCCAAAGGAAGCGCCGGCUAACUCCGUGCCAGCAGCCGCGGUAAGACGGAGGGCGCAAGCGUUGUUCGGAAUUACUGGGCGUAAAGCGCGGGCAGGCGGUCUGUUAAGUCGUUUGUGAAAAUCCGGGGCUCAACCCCGGAAAUGCAUACGAUACUGGCAAGCUGGAGACUGGUAGAGGCUAGCGGAAUUCCUGGUGUAGCGGUGGAAUGCGUAGAUAUCAGGAAGAACACCUGUGGCGAAGGCGGCUAGCUGGGCCAGUUCUGACGCUGAUCCGCGAAAGCGUGGGGAGCAAACAGGAUUAGAUACCCUAGUAGUCCCUGAGCGGGCUGGCAAGGCGCAU
rnacentral:rRNA from 1 species